UCUGCUGACCUCGUGAUCCGCCCGUCUCGGCCUCCCAAAGUGCUGGGAUUACAGGCUUGAGCCACCGCACCCGGCCGAGAUAUUCUUUAAUUUUUUACAUAGCAACUUUAUUUUUUUUAUUCUAUAGUAUCAGCAAAAUCAGCCAUGUUUAUACCUUGAAUAUAAACAUCAGGAAUCAUGCAAUUAUUUCUACUAUGUAUUUAGUAGUACCUUAUAUUUGUAUAACAUUACAUUUUGCAAAUUAGUAUCACAGCUGCUAAGUAGAUGUUUCUGAGUAUUAGAAAAAUCAGUGUUAUUACCUGCAGGACAUUAAAAAAUACUUGAAAAAAUAAAAAGAAAAAUCAGUGUUUAGAAAUGUUGAUAGUUAUUGAAUCUUUGUAUUGAAUUUUAAAAAUCCAUUCUAGUAAUCAGAGUAUACCUUUUUCGUAGAACAAGGUGGCAGGUGGGGAGCCCUUUACCCUUCUGGUGAAGUUAAACCAUAGAAGUUUGCAAGUUGCCUUUCACAGACAUUAGCAGGCCGGGCCUGGUGGCUGAAGCCUGUGAUCCCAGCAUGUUGAGAGGCCGAGUGGGAGGAUUGUCUGAGCGUAGGAGUUUAAGACCAGCCUGGGCACCAUGCCUUAGGAAUUUGCGAAGUUCCCAUGCCAACCAAGCCCUGAAUCUUCCACCCAUAGAAAGAAGCUUCCCUACUCACAAAAGGAAGUUCCAGAGUCCUUCCAGAUGCUUCAGGAAAGGAAGAAGGUCAGAGAGAUGGGGAAGCUGAAGAAGGUCAGAGAGAUCUGUUGGUUCUGAGGCUGAUUUCUGAGACCUUUUAAUAUUCCUUAAUUCAAAGCACUCAGCAUGCCAAAGUGCCAUGUUUUACAAUUUCGUUUUCUAAGCCCUAACUUAGGUGAAAAAAUAAUUGAAAUAAAAUAGAACAAAUCCUAUCAGUAUUGCCCUAUAUUGUUUCUUGUUUGUUUUUUGUUUUUUGAGAUGGAGUUGCCCAGGCUGGAGUGCAAUGGUGCAAUCUUGGCUCACUGCAAUCU